AGUAAGCUAAGGGAAUAAGCGGGGGGCAAGCCUGGUGUCAGCCGCCGCGGUAAUACCAGCUCCGCGAGUGGUCGGGACGAUUAUUGGGCCUAAAGCGUCCGUAGCCGGCCUAUCAAGUCUCUGGUUAAACCUCAAGGCUCAACCUUGAGAUCGCUGGAGAUACUGUUAGGCUAGGGGGCGGGAGAGGUUGAGGGUACUUCGCGGGUAGGGGCGAAAUCCUAUAAUCCGCGAAGGACCACCAGUGGCGAAGGCGCUCAACUGGAACGCGCCCGACGGUGAGGGACGAAAGCCAGGGGAGCAAAGGGGAUUAGAUACCCCCGUAGUCCUGGCUGUAAACGAUGCGGGCUAGGUGUUGGGUUGGCUUCGUGCCAACCCGGUGCCGCAGUGAAGACGAUAAGCCCGCCGCCUGGGAAGUACGGCUGCAAGGCUGAAACUUAAAGGAAUUGGCGGGGGAGCACCACAAGGGGUGAAGCCUGCGGUUUAAUUGGAGUCAACGCCGGGAAUCUUA
rnacentral:rRNA from 1 species